UGGGGGAUAUUGCGCAAUGGGGGCAACCCUGACGCAGCAACGCCGCGUGAAGGAUGAAGGUUUUCGGAUUGUAAACUUCUUUUAUUAAGGACGAAACUUGACGGUACUUAAUGAAUAAGCUCCGGCUAACUACGUGCCAGCAGCCGCGGUAAUACGUAGGGAGCAAGCGUUGUCCGGAUUUACUGGGUAUAAAGGGUGCGUAGGCGGCUUUGCAAGUCAGAUGUGAAAUCUAUGGGCUCAACCCAUAAACUGCAUUUGAAACUGUAGAGCUUGAGUGAAGUAGAGGCAGGCGGAAUUCCCCGUGUAGCGGUGAAAUGCGUAGAGAUGGGGAGGAACACCAGUGGCGAAGGCGGCCUGCUGGGCUUUAACUGACGCUGAGGCACGAAAGCGUGGGUAGCAAACAGGAUUAGAUACCCUGGUAGUCCACGCUGUAAACGAUGAUUACUAGGUGUGGGGGGUCUGACCCCUUCCGUGCCGGAGUUAACACAAUAAGUAAUCCACCUGGGGAGUACGGCCGCAAGGUUGAAACUCAAAGGAAUUGACGGGGGCCCGCACAAGCAGUGGAGUAUGUGGUUUAACUCGAAGCAACGCGAAGAACCUUACCAGGUCUUGACAUCCAACUAACGAAGUAGAGAUACAUUAGGUGCCCUUCGGGGAAAGUUGAGACAGGUGGUGCAUGGUUGUCGUCAGCUCGUGUCGUGAGAUGUUGGGUUAAGUCCCGCAACGAGCGCAACCCUUGCUAUUAGUUGCUACGCAAGAGCACUCUAAUAGGACUGCCGUUGACAAAACGGAGGAAGGUGGGGACGACGUCAAAUCAUCAUGCCCCUUAUGACCUGGGCUACACACGUACUACAAUGGAUGUUAACAGAGGGAAGCAAGACAGCGAUGUGGAGCAAACCCCUAAAAACAUUCUCAGUUCAGAUUGCAGGCUGCAACCCGCCUGCAUGAAGAUGGAAUUGCUAGUAAUCGCGGAUCAGCAUGCCGCGGUGAAUACGUUCCC
rnacentral:rRNA from 1 species